rnacentral:lncRNA from 1 species
ACACAUUCCAUGAGCUUCAAGUGCAGAGACAUGGUGUACACUUCGGGCUGUUCUACAGAGCACUCCAGACCAUAGGUGGCUGAAUACCUGAGUUGUACUUCUCCACUGAGGCUCUUUUAAGCCCAGAGGAAAUACUCAGAUUAGAAGAGGUAUGAUGAAAAGAUAGCAUGAAAAGGAAAAGGAAUCCAGAUACCAGAAUUCUUGCCCCCCGCCCACAACACAACAUGAUGGGUUGACUGAGGUCACAGAGCUACAGGCUGCCAAUCCUGGUGAAAAAAUUUUUCCUUUCAGUCCUGGAUUGAUGUGGAAAUAAUUACACUGGUAAGGAGAUCCAAGGUAUUAAUUCUGCUCAAUACGAAAUGACAGUCUUCCACUUAGUAGAAUACAAUAACCAACAACUACGAGAUCAAUAUCACUGAGAAAGAGAACCACCAAGUGGGAGGAUUUUAUCUUGAAAGUCAUGACCACUAAGACAUUCAACUGUAGGCUGUCAUGCAACCCACUUAUGCUGUCAGCACUAUCCCCCCAGGAUGGGGCACACUGCCCCCAAG